UACGUAGGGUGCGAGCGUUAAUCGGAUUUACUGGGCGUAAAGCGCGCGCAGGCGGCAGAGCAAGUCGAGUGUGAAAGCCCCGGGCUUAACUUGGGAAUUGCGCUCGAAACUACUUUGCUGGAGUGUGGCAGAGGAAGGUGGAAUUCCACGUGUAGCGGUGAAAUGCGUAGAGAUGUGGAGGAACACCAGUGGCGAAGGCAGCCUUCUGGGCCAACACUGACGCUCAUGCACGAAAGCGUGGGGAGCAAACAGG
rnacentral:rRNA from 1 species